ensembl:lincRNA
AUUCGACAUGGAGAGCAGAGACAUUUAGUACAUCUUCCGAACUGCUACCCUGAUGUAGAGGGAAAUAGAGAACUGCCCAUGAGCCCAGAAAGAUGCCCAUGAGCUACAGUAGUUAACAGAAAAAUACAACACAAAGCAUAUAAAAAUGAAAACCAAGUGCAGAAAUAUAAACAAUAGAAAACGGGCUGCAUGUCCCAGCAUUUAAUUUUUAAUGACUGUGUUCUUUUAAAUUCGCAUUCCGAGGUUUAUUGCUGUAAUACGCCCCUACUGGCCCUACCAAGGCUGCUGAUCACCACAUCCUUGUCUGAAACCCAGCCUACCAUCCCUUCCCACACUGAGCAACUGCAGAAGCCAUCAGGAUCGCGGGCCAGCUCUGGAGAAGAGACAGCACGCGAAGCGAGAGAGCGGCACUGGUUUCUGUGGAGAAACUCCUCCCUCCCAGGAGCUGUGAGAACGGAUCUCUUUUUCCAUGCCGCUGGCAGCCGAGGAGCCAGGUAG